rnacentral:rRNA from 1 species
GACGUAGGGCGCGAGCGUUGUCCGGAAUCAUUGGGCGUAAAGAGCGUGUAGGCGGCUCGAUAAGUCUGCUGUGAAAGUCCAGGGCUCAACCCUGGAAGGCCGGUGGAAACUGUCGGGCUAGAGUCCGGAAGAGGCGAGUGGAAUUCCCGGUGUAGCGGUGAAAUGCGCAGAUAUCGGGAGGAACACCAAUGGCGAAGGCAGCUCGCUGGGACGGUACUGACGCUGAGACGCGAAAGCGUGGGGAGCAAACAGG